UCAAACUUGGUCAUUUAGAGGAAGUAAAAGUCGUAACAAGGUUUCCGUAGGUGAACCUGCGGAAGGAUCAUUGCGGGGGAGGGAUUUGGGGGGAUGGAUGUGGGUGCAUUGAUUUGCAUUCGCGGGUGUAUUGAUUUGCAUUCGCGGGUGUAUUGAUUUGCAUUCGCGGGUGUAUUGAUUUGCAUUCGCGGGUGUAUUGAUUUGCAUUCACGUUCACAUCCACACCAAACCAUGUAUGCGCUUGGAGUUGUUUGGCAGAUGAGAUAUUGUACCUUUUUACUUACAACCUUUGCCAGUGGAUCUCUUGGCUCUUGCAUCGAUGAAGAACGCAGC
rnacentral:misc_RNA from 1 species